GGGGCGGGGCUCGCGGCUGGUGGUCGCGUUCUGCUGGUGUCUCUGGCUCCGCGCCUUGGCCGCUUCAGAAGGGGUGGUCGGGUCUGGGGGCCGAAAAUCGAGCCUUGCAGCACAGUUGCCAGAAAAUCUUACAAAAAGACCGUCCUAAGUCAGUGCGGGCGUUGUAAAGCGGGCCGAGCCAAGCGGGGAGCCCGGCUGGCCCAUGGCGGGACACUUGGGGCUCCUAUACUGAAUCUUCGCGAUGGGCAGGACUUGCUUUGCUUUCUGCUAACCACACAGUUGGGAUCCGUCCGACCCGUUCCAGUGUCUUUGCUCCUGCUGUCUCGGAACAGCUCUGAACAUCCCGCCCCUGGGAACAGUGACAAUUGCUUGACUCCAAACCUGGAGGAUAAGAAGGAAGGCUGUUUAAUGAUAGUUGAACCUGGGGUGAGAAGAGCUGCUUCCAAACAUAGCAUUGAGAAGUCCCCUGUGGGGUGUUCCUUUGCUCCGAACACCUCUGAAUCCGCGGAGACCAGUCUAUUCUUGAUGCCUCUGAAAAUCUAUCAGGCUUGUCUUCCCUUUGAGGGGAACCGUCUGAUCUCCAAACACUGGCUUUCAAGCUCUUCUCUUUUUUUGUCUUUGCGACCUACCCCAGCUUCUUGAUUCCUUCUCUUUUUCCUUUUUAAGAAACUUACAAGCUGGGCGCCUUCUGGUACAUGGUGUGCAAAGCCUUCAUGAACUCGUGGACACAGAAUUGAAAAAACAAAAGCCUGAAAUCAGAAGCUGUGAGGCCACCAGGGAAGACUGUGGUUAUGGAUGGAACCUCAUCCCACAUCCAGAGUGGGCUGGAUCACAUCAGUGUCUCCAGCUGACUCAUCACCCUGCUGAUUAAUUCUGAGCUGAUGGAGGAAAGCCAGUCCAAGGAUGAAGCCUACGCACUGGGGAGGGCAGACCUGAGAGAGGCACAGAGAAAUGAAGUCAGAGCCCUGAGCAAACUGUACCUGAAGCUCACACCACCUCUGGACUUCACAGGAAAAGGAUGAAAUCUACCCAGAGGAAAUCGAUAUCCUGGACAUCACCAAGACACGGAGUCCUCUGGCCAGCCCCUGGGGCUGUGUGUUGCACCAUUGGCCAGCUUGGAGCACAAUGUAGCUUAUACUUUGGAAUUUCCACUUGGCCUUUACUGCCUUGAUUACUGCCCCUUAAAGCAACUGUGUUCAGCUACCAGGUUAAAGGGGGUUGUCAGGGCAGAACCUCCAUUUCCUGAUCACUUCUGAGCUGGUCUUGACCUGGUACGCUGCUCAGCUCUCCUCACCCAAAUGCUCUGUUACUCCGGUCACCAAUACUGCAAUUCACCAUCGGUUGUGGUAUCUCUCGAAUGAGGGGAUAAACUACAUAUACUCAAAAAUUAUCUCUUGUUUAUCUAAAAUUCAAAUUUAACUGGGUGUCUUGUAUUUUUAUUUGCUAAAUCUGGAGAUCCCAUCUUCAGCCACCAUCUUAAUGCCUCUCAAUUGAGAUUCUAGUUUUCUGUCUUGGUUGAGACCAAGAAUUAGUCUCACAAUUGGAAUCUGGCCAUCCCUCGGCUAGCAGUGCUGAGCAAAAGGAGCAUCCAGCCCUGGACAUUGAGUUGGGGCUGAAUUGUCUCAGGACAACCACUGAGACAUUUUCAGAAAAGAGAAGCCACCUGAGAACCUGGAGAAAAGGCAGACAAGCAAGAAAUUACAGGUGGGCUGAUGGAGGAUGGCCCCUCCAUAUAAAGUAUACAAUUUGUGCUCCACUUGUUUAUUUGUAAGCCACACAGAAAGAGGGUAGAGAAGGACAAGGAACAAUAUUGUGAAUGCUUUCUCAGAGCUGUGGGGAAGAAAUGAAUGGCACUUCGUGGUAAUGAGGCAGGGAAACUGGAAAAAAACUGCUUUUUUGCUCCUUUUCCUGCUCCUAUUCUUGCUAGGAGCUGCACUCCUGUCCUACACAUGGCUUAUAGUACCGAUGAUAUAUGUCCUUCUUAUAAAGGUCAAGGAGUUAAUUUAUUCCUUUGGAGUCUUCCAGCACAACAGAUAACACCUAUGAAGUGACCGGGUGAGGUCAUUCUGUACAUUUUCCAAGACUGCUGACUGCAGACCCCUUGACACCAAGACCCCUAGCUCCAGGGCACAAGUGACUUAUAGAGGACACCGGAGCACUCCUCCUUGUUUUGACCUGUUCCUGGAUGCCUGAGAGGACACAUAUGCCAGACCACCAUGCUCAGUAAAAACCCCAGGCUGCAAGUAAUGAUGAGACUCAUGUUCCUUUUCCAUUCCAAGUGUCCAAGAUGCUCUGUCUGUAUCUGCUCUCUCUGUAACUUCAAUAAACUCUGCUCUCACUUC